rnacentral:rRNA from 1 species
GAUGAACGCUAGCGGCAGGCCUAAUACAUGCAAGUCGGACGGGAUUCAGGAGCUUGCUUCUGAUGAGAGUGGCGCACGGGUGCGUAACACGUAUGUAACCUACCUUUAUCAGGGGGAUAGCCUCUCGAAAGAGAGAUUAAGCCCGCAUAAAAUCACAGCACAGCAUUGUGUAAUGAUCAAAUAUUUAUAGGAUAAAGAUGGGCAUGCGGAACAUUAGCUAGAUGGCGGGGUAACGGCCCACCAUGGCGACGAUGUUUAGGGGAUCUGAGAGGAUGGCCCCCCACACUGGUACUGAGACACGGACCAGACUCCUACGGGAGGUAGCAGUAAGGAAUAUUGAUCAAUGGGCGGAAGCCUGAACCAGCCAUGCCGCGUGCAGGAAGACGGCCCUACGGGUUGUAAACUGCUUUUAUACGGGAAUAAACCCAGAUACGUGUAUCUGGCUGAAUGUACUGUAAGAAUAAGGAUCGGCUAACUCCGUG